rnacentral:rRNA from 1 species
GAUGAACGCUGGCGGCGUGCCUAAUACAUGCAAGUCGAGCGAACGGACGAGAAGCUUGCUUCUCUGAUGUUAGCGGCGGACGGGUGAGUAACACGUGGAUAACCUACCUAUAAGACUGGGAUAACUUCGGGAAACCGUAGCUAAUACCGGAUAAUAUUUUGAACCGCAUGGUUCAAAAGUGAAAGACGGUCUUGCUGUCACUUAUAGAUGGAUCCGCGCUGCAUUAGCUAGUUGGUAAGGUAACGGCUUACCAAGGCAACGAUGCAUAGCCGACCUGAGAGGGUGGUCGGCCACACUGGAACUGAGACACGGUCAAGACUCCUACGGGAGGCAGCAGUAGGGAAUCUUCCGCAAUGGGCGAAAGCCUGACGGAGCAACGCCGCGUGAGUGAUGAAGGUCUUCGGAUCGUAAAACUCUGUUAUUAGUGAAGAACAUAUGUGUAAGUAACUGUGCACAUCUUGACGGUACCUAAUCAGAAAGCCACGGCUAACUACGUG